AUGGUAAUAUCAUCAAAACUCAACAUUCAAAUUAGAGCACACAACCAAAUUUCGAAACUCCAUUCAACAAUGUCAUAUCCCCAAAGUUUCGAUUUCACUGUCAAGGUUCCAACUUACAAACAAACGAACCAACAUCAUUAUAUCCUUAGUUCAACAAGUAAUAUAAACAAUUUCAUUUACAAACCAACACUAGAAAACAAACAUAAUGUCAUCAAUAUUUCACCACCCAAUGUUAUCACAAAACCAACAUAA